AGCUAAAUAGUUUAAAAUUUAAAAACAUUAAUUUUGUAAAUUAAAAUUAUAUUAAAAUU
rnacentral:tRNA from 2 species